AGCAGCCGCGGUAAUUCCAGCUCCAAUAGCGUAUAUUAAAGUUGUUGCAGUUAAAAGCUCGUAGUUGAAUUUCGGGAUUUAUCCGUCGGUCGGGCUUUUGGGUCUGUACUGGGGUGAUGAAUUCCUACCUUCUGAAUAACCAGCAUGCCAUUAAUUUGGUGCGCCGGGGAAGCAGGACUGUUACCUUGAAAAAUUAGAGUGCUUAAAGCAGGCUAUUGCCUGAAUACAUUAGCAUGGAAUAAUGAAAUAGGACGGCAUGGUUCUAUUUUGUUGGUUUCUAGGAUCACCGUAAUGAUUAAUAGGGAUAGUUGGGGGCAUUAGUAUUCAAUUGUCAGAGGCGAAAUUCUUGGAUUUAUUGAAGACUAACUUCUGCGAAAGCAUUUGCCAAGGAUGUUUUCAUUAAUCAAGAACGAAAGUUAGGGAUCGAAGACGAUCAGAUACCG
rnacentral:misc_RNA from 1 species